rnacentral:rRNA from 1 species
ACGGAAGGCAGCAGUAGGGAAUCUUCGGCAAUGGGGGCAACCCUGGCCGAGUAACGCCGCGUGAGUGAAGAAGGUUUUCGGAUCGUAAGGCUCUGUUGUAAGAGAAGAACGUGUGUGAGAGUGGAAAGUUCACACAGUGACGGUAACUUACCAGAAAGGGCCGGCUAACUACGUGCCAGCAGCCGCGGUAAUACGUAGGUCCCGAGCGUUGUCCGGAUUUAUUGGGCGUAAAGCGAGCGCAGGCGGUUUAAUAAGUCUGAAGUUAAAGGCAGUGGCUUAACCAUUGUUCGCUUUGGAAACUGUUAGACUUGAGUGCAGAAGGGGAGAGUGGAAUUCCAUGUGUAGCGGUGAAAUGCGUAGAUAUAUGGAGGAACACCGGUGGCGAAAGCGGCUCUCUGGUCUGUAACUGACGCUGAGGCUCGAAAGCGUGGGGAGCAAACAGGAUUAGAUACCCUGGUA